AGCGAACGCUGGCGGCAGGCCUAACACAUGCAAGUCGAACGAACUCUUCGGAGUUAGUGGCGGACGGGUGAGUAACACGUGGGAACGUGCCUUUUGGUUCGGAGUAACUCAGGGAAACUUGUGCUAAUACCGAAUGUGCCCUUCGGGGGAAAGAUUUAUCGCCAUUAGAGCGGCCCGCGUCUGAUUAGCUAGUUGGUGAGGUAACGGCUCACCAAGGCGACGAUCAGUAGCUGGUCUGAGAGGAUGACCAGCCACACUGGGACUGAGACACGGCCCAGACUCCUACGGGAGGCAGCAGUGGGGAAUCUUGCGCAAUGGGCGAAAGCCUGGCGCAGCCAUGCCGCGUGAAUGAUGAAGGUCUUAGGAUUGUAAAAUUCUUUCACCGGGGACGAUAAUGACGGUACCCGGAGAAGAAGCCCCGGCUAACUUCGUG
rnacentral:rRNA from 1 species